rnacentral:rRNA from 1 species
UACGUAGGGUGCGAGCGUUAAUCGGAAUUACUGGGCGUAAAGCGUGCGCAGGCGGUUCGUUGUGUCGGCGGUGAAAGCCCCGGGCUCAACCUGGGAAUGGCCGUUGAAACUGGCGAGCUGGAGUGUGGCAGAGGGGGGUGGAAUUCCGCGUGUAGCAGUGAAAUGCGUAGAGAUGCGGAGGAACACCGAUGGCGAAGGCAGCCCCCUGGGCCAACACUGACGCUCAGGCACGAAAGCGUGGGGAGCAAACAGG